CAGUAGCCACGGUAAUACGAAGGUCCCGAGCGUUGUUCGGAAUCACUGGGCGUAAAGGGAGCGUAGGCGGCGUGGUAAGUCAGAUGUGAAAUCCCGGGGCUCAACCCCGGAACUGCAUCCGAUACUGCCAUGCUAGAGGAUUGGAGAGGUAGCUGGAAUUCUUGGUGUAGCAGUGAAAUGCGUGGAGAUCAAGAGGAACACUCGUGGCGAAAGCGAGCUACUGGACAAUAACUGACGCUGAGGCUCGAAGGCCAGGGUAGCGAAAGGGAUUAGAUACCCCCGUAGUCCCUGUCUCUUAUAA
rnacentral:rRNA from 1 species